ACUAAGCGUACAAGGUGGAUGCCUUGGCAAUCAGAGGCGAAGAAGGACGUGCUAAUCUGCGAAAAGCUUGGAUGAGUCGAUAAGAGGCGUUUAAUCCAAGAUAUCCGAAUGGGGAAACCCAGUAGAUGAAGAAUCUACUAUCAACAAGUGAAUUCAUAGCUUGUUGAGGCAAACCGGGAGAACUGAAACAUCUAAGUACCCCGAGGAAAAGAAAUCAACCGAGAUUUCGUCAGUAGCGGCGAGCGAAAGCGAAAGAGCCAGUAAGUGAUAGCAGUAUAGUUAGGAGAAUGUGUUGGGAAGCACAAUCAAAGAGGGUGAUAAUCCCGUAUCUAAAAACCAUAUUGUGGUACUAAGCUAACGAGAAGUAGGGCGGGACACGUGAUAUCCUGUUUGAAGAAGGGGGGACCAUCCUCCAAGGCUAAAUACUCCUGAUUGACCGAUAGUGAACCAGUACUGUGAAGGAAAGGCGAAAAGAACCCCGGUGAGGGGAGUGAAAUAGAACCUGAAACCUUGUACGUACAAGCAGUGGGAGCCUGAAAGGGUGACUGCGUACCUUUUGUAUAAUGGGUCAGCGACUUAUAUUUUGUAGCGAGGUUAACUGAAUAAGGGAGCCGAAGGGAAACCGAGUCUUAACUGGGCGAAUAGUUGCAAGGUAUAGACCCGAAACCCGGUGAUCUAGCCAUGGGCAGGUUGAAGGUUGGGUAACACUAACUGGAGGACCGAACCGACUAAUGUUGAAAAAUUAGCGGAUGACUUGUGGCUGGGGGUGAAAGGCCAAUCAAACCGGGAGAUAGCUGGUUCUCCCCGAAAUCUAUUUAGGUAGAGCCUUGAGGUGACACCUUUGGGGGUAGAGCACUGUUUCGGCUAGGGGUCCAUCCCGGAUUACCAACCCGAUGCAAACUACGAAUACCAAAGAGUGAUACUCAGGAGACACACGGCGGGUGCUAACGUCCGUCGUGGAGAGGGAAACAACCCAGACCGCCAGCUAAGGUCCCCAAGUCUAUAUUAAGUGGGAAACGAAGUGGGAAGGCUUAGACAGCUAGGAUGUUGGCUUAGAAGCAGCCAUCAUUUAAAGAAAGCGUAAUAGCUCACUAGUCGAGUCGGCCUGCGCGGAAGAUGUAACGGGGCUCAAAUAUAGCACCGAAGCUGCGGCAUCAGGCGUAUCACUAAUACGCCUUACGAUUAACAAGCUAGAAUGGCGCGAAGCGACAUGAAAGGUUGUUCAAGCGACCCGAACGUUGAGUCGGGUAUCUUUGAGUGAGGAUGAUUAGUGAUACGCCUGUUGGGUAGGGGAGCGUUGUGUAAGCGGAAGAAGGUUCAUCGAGAGGUGGGCUGGACGUAUCACAAGUGCGAAUGCUGACAUAAGUAACGAUAAAACGGGUGAAAAACCCGUUCGCCGGAAGACCAAGGGUUCCUGUCCAACGUUAAUCGGGGCAGGGUGAGUCGGCUCCUAAGGCGAGGCUGAAAAGCGUAGUCGAUGGGAAACAGGUUAAUAUUCCUGUACUUGGUAAAGCUGCGAUGUGGGGACGGAGUAGGUUAGGUUAUCGCACUGUUGGAUAUGUGCGUUUAAGUUGGUAGGUGGGAAGUUUAGGCAAAUCCGGACUUCCUUAACACAGAGAGAUGAUGACGAGGCUCUACGGAGCUGAAGUAACUGAUACCACACUUCCAGGAAAAGCCACUAAGCGAAAGGCUUUACUAAACCGUACUAAAAACCGACACAGGUGGUCAGGUAGAGAAUACUCAGGCGCUUGAGAGAACUCGGGUGAAGGAACUAGGCAAAAUAGCACCGUAACUUCGGGAGAAGGUGCGCCGGCGUAGAUUGUAGUCCCUAGCGGGCGAAGGUUGAACCGGUCGAAGAUACCAGCUGGCUGCAACUGUUUAUUAAAAACACAGCACUCUGCAAACACGAAAGUGGACGUAUAGGGUGUGAUGCCUGCCCGGUGCUGGAAGGUUAAUUGAUGGUGUCAUCGAAAGAGAAGCACCUGAUCGAAGCCCCAGUAAACGGCGGCCGUAACUAUAACGGUCCUAAGGUAGCGAAAUUCCUUGUCGGGUAAGUUCCGACCUGCACGAAUGGCAUAAUGAUGGCCAGGCUGUCUCCACCCGAGACUCAGUGAAAUUGAAAUCGCCGUGAAGAUGCGGUGUACCCGCGGCUAGACGGAAAGACCCCGUGAACCUUUACUAUAGCUUGACACUGAACAUUGAAUUUUGAUGUGUAGGAUAGGUGGGAGACUUAGAAGCAGUCACGCCAGUGAUUGUGGAGUCAUCCUUGAAAUACCACCCUUUAACGUUUGAUGUUCUAACGAAGAUUGCGGAACGCGGUCUCGGACAGUGUCUGGUGGGUAGUUUGACUGGGGCGGUCUCCUCCCAAAGCGUAACGGAGGAGCACGAAGGUUUGCUAAUCACGGUCGGACAUCGUGAGGUUAGUGCAAUGGUAUAAGCAAGCUUAACUGCGAGACAGACAAGUCGAGCAGGUACGAAAGUAGGUCAUAGUGAUCCGGUGGUUCUGAAUGGAAGGGCCAUCGCUCAACGGAUAAAAGGUACUCCGGGGAUAACAGGCUGAUACCGCCCAAGAGUUCAUAUCGACGGCGGUGUUUGGCACCUCGAUGUCGGCUCAUCACAUCCUGGGGCUGAAGUAGGUCCCAAGGGUAUGGCUGUUCGCCAUUUAAAGUGGUACGCGAGCUGGGUUUAGAACGUCGUGAGACAGUUCGGUCCCUAUCUGCCGUGGGCGUAGGAGAAUUGGUUGGGGCUGCUCCUAGUACGAGAGGACCGGAGUGGACGCACCACUGGUGUUCCGGUUGUGUCGCCAGACGCAUUGCCGGGUAGCUAAGUGCGGAAGAGAUAAGUGCUGAAAGCAUCUAAGCACGAAACUUGCCAAGAGAUGAGUUCUCCCAAUCUAAGAGAUAGUAAGGGUUGUUGUAGACUACGACGUAGAUAGGUCUGGUGUGUAAGUGUAGUGAUACAUUGAGCUAACAGAUACUAAUUGCCCGAGAGGCUUAACU
rnacentral:rRNA from 1 species